rnacentral:rRNA from 1 species
UACGGGGGGGGCAAGCGUUGUUCGGAAUUACUGGGCGUAAAGUGUGCGCAGGCGGCCGCGCAAGUCGAGUGUGAAAUCCCCGAGCUUAACUUGGGAAUUGCGCUCGAAACUACGUGGCUGGAGUGUGGCAGAGGAAGGUGGAAUUCCACGUGUAGCGGUGAAAUGCGUAGAUAUGUGGAGGAACACCGAUGGCAAAGGCAGCCUUCUGGGCCAACACUGACGCUCAUGCACGAAAGCGUGGGGAGCAAACAGG